UAGGUUUUCCCCUUCGGGGACAGAGUGACAGGUGGUGCAUGGUUGUCGUCAGCUCGUGUCGUGAGAUGUUGGGUUAAGUCCCGCAACGAGCGCAACCCUUGAUCUUAGUUGCCAGCAUUAGUUGGGCACUCUAAGGUGACUGCCGGUGACAAACCGGAGGAAGGUGGGGAUGACGUCAAAUCAUCAUGCCCCUUAUGACCUGGGCUACACACGUGCUACAAUGGAUGGUACAAAGGGGCCGAGCCCGCGAGGUCAAGCCAAUCCCGACUAAAACCAUUUCUCAGUGUCGGAUUGCAGGCUGCAACUGGCACUAGCAGUGAGAGCCUGGAAUCGGUUACAG
rnacentral:rRNA from 1 species